ACAGCAGCAGCCACGGUAAAACGUAGGGUGCGAGCGUUAAUCGGAAUUACUGGGCGUAAAGCGUGCGCAGGCGGUUGUGUAAGACAGGUGUGAAAUCCCCGGGCUUAACCAGGGAAUGGCAAUGGAUACUGGCAAGCUAGAGUGUGUCAGAGGAUGGUGGAAUUCCCGGUGUAGCGGUGAAAUGCGUAGAGAUCGGGAGGGACAUCAGUGGCGAAGGCGGCCAUCUGGGACAACACUGACGCUGAGGCACGAAAGCGUGGGGAGCAAACAGGAUUAGAUACCCCCGUAGUCCCUGUCUCUUAUAC
rnacentral:rRNA from 1 species